GAAAAAUAUUCCUUCUUAUUGAAAUGUUCACAAAUUCAAAAUGUUCGUGAUUAAAAACACAUUUUUGAAAAUGGUUCUGAAUUCAAAAUAAGUUUCCAUUUUCAAGGAUUGUUUACAAAUUAAAAAAUGUCAGUUUCUCCGCCUUAAAAAACGUCUUGUUUUCAAAAAAAUGUUUGUGAAUUUCAAGAAAUGUUCCUAUUUCAAGUUUUGUUUGCCUUUUUCCUGGAAUUAACAAAUUUUUCAAAAAAAUACUCGCAUAUUUUAUAAAAAAAAUCAGGAGGUCACCACAACAUCGACAAGGAGGCGGACCUGAAGUAAGAAAACGCAAGAGUUGGGUAGUGGCUGCCACUCCGACCCCCACUACUAUAAAGAUCUCACAGGCCAAACAUGACCCGCGAGAACACCACAGCUCUCCGCUUUGUCGCCCCACUGUUCUGGAGACCAUUUUGAUGGACACAUCAAUUAUCUCUCCCGAUGCUUCUUACAAAAAAAUCUCUCCCGUUGCAAUGCAUGGGCAUAUGUGCUAGUAACAAAAAAAAAGGAAAAACAAGAAAGAACCGUGAAGAAAAAAAACGUUCCCUAGCUACUUGGGCCGGCCCAUAUGCGGUUUGCUCGCUGCAAUGCAAUGGGCCUUGGGCCGCGCACGUCUAUCCCGGUCUGCCCCCCUCGCUCGUCCGGUUCGUCUAGGAGGAAAACCCUAUUUGCCGCUCUAGCAGAGCAAGGGAUGAUGCUAAAAAAAAAGCAGAGCAAGCUUUUAGAUCCAAGCACGCCGCCGGCUUUAAAGACCUGGGGAUGUAGAUCGAGAGAGCAGUCAGGCGGCGGCGGCGACUCGCGAGUACAGGCACGACGGCGGCUGGGCAUCGUCGGGUUCGGGAGUUGGAGGGGAUGAGGGGGAGGCGGCGGCGCGGCGGGCGCCUGGGGUCUCGGCAUCCGACCUCAGGUCCAAGCUGCCGACGGAGACUGCUGCGCCGCGAGCACGCUGAGAGCCUGAGGUAGCUGGACGACUGCCACGGCGAUGCACAAGGAGGCGAGCCCGAGGCGGUGGGCGGCGGCGGAUCCAGUCAUGCUCCUCCUCGAAUUCCCCGUCGUCGUGCUACCGAGGGCGUCUUCGCCCACAUCUCCUCACGCCGGUGCGCAUGGCGCCUCCUGCCGCUGGUUCCGCCUGCCGGUCGCGACGCGGUAAAAGAACAGAGCAUGUGCUCGCGGCGGAGGAUGCUCUCUCGCUGCCGCGGAACGCUCGCCUCGCCCGCCACCACGGACAAGGCAACAAAAUGGAGCUAUCCUUUCCAUUAGCAUAUUCCUGAAGGAUUUAUUUUGCACAUAAAAGUGAUGGCUUGGGCCUUUGGCACCAUGGCGGCAUCAGUUUGCACGUUGUCGCUCCACUUGUAUUGCUGGUUGCAAAGUAAGGUGCGAACAGUCCAUCGCCGUAUGUUAGGAGGUGAAACUUAAGCACUAUAUAGUGAAAAUUUCUCUAGCGUUGUGGGAGCUGCUGCUGUUGCAUUUAAAUCGGUUUGUCCAAAUCGACAGUCCGAGGCUCCAGCUGAUGCAGUCGCAACCCCACCUCUAGAUCAGCUCACCACCCAACCAGUUACACUCAGUUAUGUGUCAGUUUUGAUUCAUUCUACAUAAUUAUUGGAACUCUGGAAUGACCAAAUCUCAAUUCUGCUUCAAAGGUAAUGAUUCUGUUUUAUCAACCACCCUAAAUUUGUCCACAACUGAUGUUUACGACAUGGUUAUCUAUUUCACACAUUCUUAUUCUAUGUAUAUUGUUAUUAUAUUUUCAUUUCCUUAGUUGUGUUGCUGUUUAGUUGACUGUUAAGUUUACGGUUAUUUCCCCUGCAAAAAAAAGGUUAUGGUCUUUUAUUAUUCCAAAAGAGAAAAGCAUGUUUCUUUGUAGGAGACUAGCUGCUAUAUAGGCUUGCGUAUUUUGUAAUGUUUCUUUUACAAACAUAUGAUGUUAUAGAGUGUAGACACGGGCCUAGACAUUUAGCCAAACCUACCUAUAGCAUUUCUAAAACGAUAUAAUUAUAACGGUUACAUGUAAAUUACGUGUGUAGAUUUAUCCCUUUUUCUCAUACGCCUUAGUAGAUUCUAAAAAUAUGGUGUGAUGUAUAAAAGUUUAUGGUCAACGCUAGUUUAGUGUUUGGGUCAAAUUAUUAUUUGAAAGUAGGGGUUAAAGUUUGCCAAGAAAAAAACAGAUUAUUAUUUCAGAUUGAUAGAGUACGACAAUAUCCCACCCGGUCUUGUUUCCAUCAAAAGUGUGUCCCCACUUUGUUGAAGAAUACACCUACCAUUUUGGUAGUGGGACUAACUCAUCUCAGCGGUUUUGUUUGGGCCUCAUUCCCCUAAUACGCUAGUAAUCGUCUCAUUUCCCAUAUUUCCCUUAGUCUCACUCCCAAUCACUUCACGAUCCAAGGAAGGGAAUGCCAGCAGCCAUGGCGACAGUGUCCCCUUCGGCCAUUCAUGCCACUUGAGAGGAUGAAGGCUCUAGUGACGUCACGCGAGAGACAUCAGCGCAAGUGAGGUUGCCACCAUCCUUGUUGCGACGACAAGGCCACAACAGGGGGUACAACGGGAUGGUGGAUGACGGCAUUGCAGAAGGAGGUGCCGACCACUCAUUUGACCCAGGGAAGCAAAAAUAAUGUGCAAUGUUUUAGUCCCAUACUGCUACUAAAUAAGGAUCUCGGUCGAGAGAAUCUAGAGUAUGGUGUGUGGUCUAGAAAAGGAGCAAGAGUGCACUCGAGCAUGUUUAGGGGGAGGUAUGUUCGGGGCGGAGGCCACAUGGGGGAGCUAUGCCCGGCUGGAUGACCGUAAAGGGCGAGGGUGAAUUCCUUCUUUUAAGUAUAAAAGUAUACCCCCUUUGUUCACUAUUAUGAGAUAUUUUGGAUAUUUUAAUAUGAACUACAUACAGAAAUGAGUGAACAAAACACACUAAAACGUGUCUAUGUACACCUGAUUCAGAAAAAAGUUAGAACAUCUUAUAAUCGUUAAUGGAGGGAGUACUAGAGAAUAAAAUCCUUCCCUAGCUAAUGGUGGAUUAACAAAACUGAGUCUGAAGAGAGAGAGGAACUAUUUGAUCCUGCACAUUGGAGCAUACAAAGGAAGCAUCGACACCAAUAUAUUUGGUGAGUUAUGUUGCACAGGGUCGUGCACAAUACUGAUAGCACCUGUACUCUCUGACAACAGAGGAGUAGGUGAGUGACAACACCUGUACUCUACAACAGAGGAGUAGGUGUAGUGAUAGGAAAAAAAAUCCUUAAGCUACCAUCAUAUGCCUUUGUUGUCAAAAGAGCCAUAGUUUGCAACUCAGCCUUUGCACUAGAAGGGAAAAGGGCAAUCGGUUUCUUUGUCUUCUAGGCAAUGAGAAAACCAUCAAGAAAACACAGUAAGUAGAAAGGGACGUGCGAACUUGAGUUUAGGAAGAAGAGAGACGGUGAGACAUAUUUCCACGAAGAUAUCGUAGAACAGGGGGUGACUCAAGUGGAUAAAAGUGAGAGUAGAGACAAAGUGACUUAGACUGAGAACGUGAUAUGAAAUGUCUGGACGAGUGACAUCUAAAUAGACAAGACUCCCAACAAGAUGAUGAUAGCGUGUCAGAUCAAACAAAGGUGGAUGUUGAGCUCCAUGGGAGUGUUAUGCCACUUGAGAGGAUGAAGGCUCUAGCAACAUCGUGCAAGAGGCAUUGGUGCUAGCGAGUUUGCCACCAUCCUAGCCACGACGACAAUGCCGCAGAGCAUAUAGUUGAGGGUAGAGUAGAAAAGUGGAGCGACGGCGCCGCAGGAGGAGGUGCACUCGAACGGGGGGCACUACACUGCAGUCUGUUUCUUCUUUCGGGCGAGUGCGAGACAGAUAGACAAGGUUCACAACAAAAUGUCGAUAAAGCGCCAGAUCAGACAGUAGGUCAACGUCAGUAGCAGGGAGGUGAACAUUGAGCUCCAUGGGAGUCUCAACAUGCGCUCAUUAGUAAGAGCAGCGUGAGUAGGAAGAUCCUAAAUUAUUAUUUUUCAGCAUGAAGGGACCUCAAUCCCAAGAAAGUAGCAUAGAGGGCCAAAAUAAAACAUAAGAAACUGCAUACUAAGACAUGCCUUAACAAAGGCAAUAUACUCACUGUCUGCGUCAGUGAUGAUCAUGUCAUCAACAUGUAGAAGAAGAGUCCUACCAAGAAUAGAAAGGAGGACAAACAAUGUCGGAUCAUGAGCACUCGAUGAAAACCAGCAGUAGCCAUCAUAGAGGCAAAACGCUCAAACCAGGUGUGAGGGGCUUGCUUAGAGCCAUAGUGAGAGUGACGAAGACGAGAAAGCAUGUCAUAAGGAGCAGCUCACCAUUAAGAAAUGCAUUCUUAACAUCAAGCCUAGAACAGAUCAGUGGCGAACAGAGGCCACAAUAAGAAGUGUGCAAACAGUGGUGAGCAAAAGUCUCAUUGUAAUCAGGACCAUGCUCCUGCUGAAAGCCAUUACCCACAACUCGAGCUUUGUAACGCCCAAGAGAACCAUCAGAGUGAGUCCUAACCUUGUAGACCCACCAAGUGAUGGGACAAACACGAGGAGGAACAUAUACAAUAUCCCACGCGCCGAUGCGCUCAAGAGCAGUAGUCUCCUCUGCCAUCACAAGGUGCCAUUUGGUAUGAACAACAUCACAAUAAGAAGUUGGCUCAAGAACAACAUCGCCAAUGCUUGGAAGACCUAGGCGGUCAAUAGGCCAAAGCGGACGAGGACGCAAGCCAUAAGUAGGCUGAGACGGGGAAGAUGGCACAUCGGUAGACGCAUCCACAACACGUAGACGUCCUGUAUAGAAAUUAGGAAAAGAUGGAAGAAUACGAGUUGGAAUCAUCGGGAUAAACUCAGGUGAUGGAGACAAGGAAGCCACCGGUGAUGAAGGUGUAGUAUCAUGUGAUAAGUGAGGUGAGGAAAUUAUAGGAGAUGAUGGCGUUGGUUCUACAAUAAUCAGAGAAGCAGGAGCAGUACGAUGACUGGAUAAGGGUUCAAUAGAAGUGGUAGGAGUGUCGGGAAAAUUGUGGAAAGAGAUAUACUCCACCUAAAAGGCCGAAGAAGAUGGACUCAACAAAAGUCAUAUCCCGAGAAAUAGGCAUACAACGAUGAACAUGAUCCCAAAAUGAUAUCCCUUAUGCUCAUCGUUGUAUCCUAAGAAGACACACUCAAUAGACUGACAAGUCAAUUUGGUGCGUUCACGAGGGGCAAGGACGUAGCAAACACAACCAAACAAUUGAAGCGCCGAAUAAAUGAUCAAAUAGACGGUCGAAAGGAGCGUCACCCUGCAGAGCAGUGGAUUGCUAAAGGUUGAUGAGAUAGAUAGAAGUGGAGACAAACUCGACCCAAAAGUGUGACGGAAGAGAUGCGGUGACCAUAACGGACGAGUCGUCUCAAGAAGGUGACGAUGCUUGUGCUCAACCACGCCAUUUUUAGCAUGAGCACCAGGAUAAGAGAACCAAAGUCUGCUAAAAAAGGAUUCCACCAGAGUCAUCAUAGAACACAUGAAUAGGUGUAGAGAAUUGAGUGUGAACCAUGGCAGCAAAAGGCUUAUAAGACCUCACUACAAGAAGAAAUAAAGUAUAUCAGGUGUGUCGAGAGAAGUUACUACCGAAGGCAAAGGGAGAUGGACCCCUGAGAUCAUAUUGAACAAGGUCGGAAGGAUGACGACAUUGUCUUGCUAUGAGUAUAAGGUAAUUGGACCGUGGAUUAGAGACAUCAUCGGAGACGGAUCCAAGUAGACCACGUCGAACUAAGGAUGAGAGAUAACAAGUGAUCCAAGGGGAUGAUGCCAAUCCUGAAAAUAACUGGUAGACAAGGCAACAAAGGCAGAGACUGGCGAUGGUGGCGGCAGAGGGACUUGAUCUAGCAUCCCACGUGCCUAUGCACUCUUCGUACCCCACCGAUUCGGCUUGGCGUUCUUUUCCUGUUUGCGGGUUGUGGGUCACGCACUUGAUUAAGCACCCCAGGUUCUCCUACUGCGCCCUUGGCCUUGACUUUAGGUAGCGCCUGUCCUCGGCUCGUCCCGUGCAUAAACCAGGUACGCGUCGACUGUCCGAGCUCCUGCUCACCAUUGGUGGUGCUCGAGCGUGCGGUUAUGGUGUCGCACAUAAAGGGAACACGGGAUGUGGGAUUGAGACAGUACUCAUAGCAGCCCGCAACAAGGCAAAGAAUGCCCAUCCAGACUGGCAGGGAGCAAAGGUGGGCACAAAGGUGGACGUUGACUCGAAGUCUCAAAAGUGCGCUCAUCAGUAAGAGCAGCACGAGCAAGAAGAUUUUAGAUAUACUUCUCUUAGGAAAUAAGGAACAAUCUCAAAGAAGUAGUGAAGAGGACCAAGAUUCAGCAGUGACCUUAUCACUAAGAGCAGCACGAGCAAGAAGAUCCUAAAUGUACUUCUCUUGGGAAAUAAAGAAGCCAUCAGAGGUAGAAGAAACCUCAGUUCCAAGUAGUGAAAGGGACCAAGACCAGACAUUAAAUCUAUUCACUAAGACGAGCCUUCAAAAAGGCAAUGCACUCAAAGUUGUUCGUAGUGAUGAUCAUGUCAUCGACAUAUAGGAGCAAAGCUCGACCACGAGCUUAAAGAUGGAUAUAAAGUGCAGGAUGAUGAGCAUUUGGCAAAAACUAGUUGCAGUCAUCGCUGAGACAAAAACCUCAAACCGUGCACGAGGGCUAAAGGCAUAGAGAGAAUGACAAAUACGGCAGAUCAUGCCAUCAGGGGAAAAUAUCUAUGUGGUGGCUACAUGCAGACCUUCUCAUGCAACUCACCAUUAAGAAAGACAUUCUUGACAUAAGCUAAGAGACAAACCCGUGGCGAGCAAAUAUCACAACGAAAACUGUGUGAAGAGUGGUCAUGUAGGCCAUAUGAGAAAAUGUCUUGUCGUAGUCGUAGCCAUGUUCCUAUUGAAAGCCACAAGUCACAAGACGAGCUUUGUAAGGCAAGGGAACCAUCAGAGUCUAAAUCUUGUAGACACACUUACAGUAUACAAGUGAUGGUUUGAGCAUGAGGAGGAAGGGAAAUGAGAUCCCACGUGCCGGUGCGUUCAAGAGCAGCAAUCUCCUCUGCCAUUGCAUGCCGCCAUUUGGGUGAACAUGGUAUCACAGUAAAUUGUAUUGAGAAGAGCAGCGCCAGAACACCCAUAGUGAUCAAUAGGUGGAAGCGGGCAAGCGCAGAAGCUAGGUUGAGCUGGAGGUAGUGCGUUUCCAACAGAAGGAGACAUAGUAGUGGAGGGAGAUGGCUCAUCGAAAGAUGACACAUCAGAAGAAUCCACAAGAUGCGGACGGCUAGUGUAGUAAAGAAGAGGAUGCGGGAGAAUCACUGGGGAAGUAUUAGGGGAUGAAUGAGGUGGGGAAGCCGCAGGUGAUGAUGAGGUACAGGGAGACACAUUGGAAUGGAUCUAGGAGGGCAAAACAUGAGUGAUAGCUAUAUCGAAAAAUACUAGGAAAGAAAUAUCCUCAAUGGGAGAGGCCGAAGGAGAGGAUGGACAUGGAUAGAAAGGACGAGACUCGUCAAAAGUCACACCCUGAGGAAUGCGCAUUCGCCGAUCGAUAGGACCCAACACACAAAGCGCUCAGUAGCCAUGAGAACGAUCAACAGACACUCGAGAGGAAUGUCACCUUGCAAAGCAAGGAAGGCUGACUGUUGACGAGGUAGGUGGAAGUAGAAAUAACCUCAACCCAAAAGUGAGGUGAAAGAGAGGUGUUGAUCUUCAAUGCACAAGCCGCCUCAAGAAGUUGACGAUGCUUACGAUCAGCAAACCAUUCCGAGCAUUUGGACCACGACAUGAGAACUGAGAAAGUGUGCCCUGCUCAGCAAGGAAUCCGCACAACAAAUGAUAGAUGAACUCGCAAGCAAAAUCUUCAUGGAAGACACAAUUAGGAGUGGAAAACCCGACAUGAAGCAUGGGGGCAAACUUCUUACUGAUGGAUAAGACCUUACUACAAGAAAAGCAUACAAUAUAUCCAUGUGUGUCGAGAGAAAACAUAUGCUCCCUCCGUUCGAAAAUGGAUGUAUCUAGAUAUAUUUUAGUUCUAGAUACAUCUAUUUUUAUCCAUUUCUGCGACAAGUAUUUUCGGACGUAGGUAGUAUAAAGAUAAUAUAGUGGCGAUGGUCUCCUUUUGAGGCAAAGGGAGCUCGACCACAAACAUCAAAAUGAACAAGAUAGAAAGGAUGAGACAUAGUCUCGCUAUGAAGAUAAAGUAAUUAAACCUGUUUGCCAAGCUGACAAACCUGGCAGUCUAAAGACACAUCGCUAGAGAUAGAUCCAAGAAGACCACUUCGAACUAAGGAUGAGAAACAAUAACCACAUAAGUGACAAAGACGAUGAUGCCACAAAGAGACAGUAAACGAAGUAACCGAGGCGGAGGGACUGGCAACAGUGGCAGCAAAGGGAAGGUUAAACAAGUCAAGCUCCUAGAGGGCCUAGGAGUUACAACGACGAUGGCCAACACUAAGUAAAGCAUCCAUCUGAGGAUCCUAAUAAGAACAAGAGUUAAACUAAAGAAUGACUGUACAACCAAAGUCGACAAUCCGACCACCUGAAAUGAGCUGCAUGGGCCAAGGAAUAUGAGCAAAAGAAUAACAUGAAAAGACAAAGUAAUAAGAGUGCCUCGAUUGUCGACUUGGAGGGAAGUUCCAUCAGCAGUAAGAACAUGAACAUGAGAAUCUGAAGGUCGAAUAGCUGACAAACUCGAAGAAUCAUAAACUAUUUGAAAAUACGUCCAGUACCAAGGAUUCAUAGAGGUGUACUUGGUUGUGUAAAAGUGGUCACUCGGUACUAGAAAAAUCAGUAGCAAAACCUAUUGAUGGAGAACCCAAAGAAUCAGCUAGUAGACAUGGAAGUCGCCUAAUCUCUAGUGUAGUCAUUGUCUCAACUGAAGAGGUUGCCGAAGAAGUAUUGUGCGAUGAAACUAGAAGUAGCAAGUAGGUGUUCUGUUAAAGAUCAAACACCCCAAAAUAUUUCUCGUUCUUCUUUGUUUAGUUUAAUUUGGUUUUUGAUCGCUUUCUUUUGUGUUCCUUUGGUUUUUUUUGCUUCCUAUUGUUUUUUGUUUGUUUGUUGUUUGCUUUUAAAAGAAACCCUCCUUUUGUUCUUUUGGUGUUUUGAAGUUCUUUAUUUCUUCGUUCUCUUUGCUUUUUCUUUGGAAGUUUAUUUGUUGCCUCUUCGUUAAAACUUUGGAAAUCUUUUAUCUUUGCGUUCUUUCUUGCCUUUGAGAAAAACCAAAUAUUCUAAAUUAUUUAUGUUGUGUUUCUCUGAGUUAUUUGCAUUUUAUGUUUCAAAAAAUUCAAAAAUAUUUCUCUUUCGUUGUUCUUUUGUUUUCUUUUGGUUGUUCUUUUUGACUUUUCUUUGUUGUUUUCUUUUUGUUGUUUCUUUCGUCUUUGUGUUUAAAUUGCAAAACCCAAAAUUUCCAAAAAGAUUUUUCAUUUGCAUCUUAUUGAGUCUCAAGUGUUUGUAGUGUUUUUUUUACUUCCUGUUGUUUCUUUUGUUUGUGUGUUGUUUGCUUUUGGAAGAAACCCAAAAAGAUUUCUUUUUUCAUUUCGUUCUUUUGAAGUACUUUGAGAAAACAACAAAGAUAUUUCUUCGUUCCUUUUGCUUUUUCUUUGAAAGUUUAUUUGAUUUCGUCUUAGCUGAAUCUUCGGAAAUCUUUCAUCUGUGCUUGUUUUUGCGUUCUUGUUUGCCUUCUUUGAGAAAAGAAAAAAAUCCAAAAAUAUUUUUGAAGUGUUUCUUUGAGAUCUUUUUUGCCUUUUAUGUUUUAGAAAAUCCAAAAAUAUUUCUCUUUUGUUGUUCUUCUGUUUUCCAUUGUUUUCUUUUGGUUGCUCUUUUUGGCUUUUCUCUGCUGUUUUCUUUUUGCCGUUUCUUUCGUCUUUGUGUUUAAGUUGCAAAACCCAAACAUUCCAAAAAGAUUUCUCGUUUGUGUCUUAGUCUUAAAUGUUGUCAUUGUUUUCCGUUGGUUAUUAUUUUUGGCUUUUCUUUGCUGGUUUCUUUUUUCAUUUCUUUCGUCUAUGUGUUUAAGUUGUAAAAUCCAAACAUUCUAGAAAGAUUCUUGUUUGCGUCUUAUUGAUUCUUAGUUGUUUGAAAUGUUUUUUUGCUUCCUAUUUUUUUCUUUUGUUUGUUUGUUGUUUGCUUUUAAAAGAAAUCCAAAAUGAUUUCUUUAUCUUAUUAUCCUUUUGAUGUUAUUUGAGGAAACCACAAAAUACUUUCUCGUUCUUUUUGCUUUUUCUUUGGAUGUUUAUUUGAUUGGCUCUUUGUUGAAACUUUGAAAAUCCUUUUCCUUUGCUUCUCUUUGCCUGCUUUGAGAAAAACCCAAAAAUUCCAAAAUCAUUUCUGUGUGUUUCUCUUACUUCUUCUUUACCUUUUAUUUUUUAGAAAAUCCAAAAAUAUUUCUCUUUCGUUUAUCUUUUGUUUUUUCUUUGUUUUCUUUUGACUGUUCUUCUUGGCAUUUUUUUGGUGUUUUCUUUUUUGGUGUUUCUUCCGUUUUUGUGUUAAGUUGCAGGCGUUCAAAAAAACAUUGCAAAACCCAAAAAUUCCACAAAGAUUUCUCGUUUGAGUCUUAAGUGUUUGUAGUGUUUUUUUUCUUCCUAUUGUUAUUCCACAAAGAUUUCUCGUUUGAGUCUUAAGUGUUUGUAGUGUUUUUUUUGCUUCCUAUUGAUUCUUUUGUUUUUUGUUCUUUGCUUUUAAAAGAAACCCGAAAAGAUUGCUUUGUCCUUUUGUAGUUUUGUUCUUUUGAAGUUCUUUGAGAAAAUAAUAAUAUAUUUCUUUGUUCUUUUUUGCUUUUCCUUUGGAUGUUUAUUUGAUUUCCUAUUUGUUGAAACUUUGGAAAUCUUUUAUGUUUGCUUCUCUUUGCAUUCUUGUUUGCCUUAUUUGAGAAAAAACAAAAAAUCCAAAAUUAUUUCUGUUGUGUUUCUCUGAGUUCUUUGCCUUUUAUAUUUCAGAAAAUUCAAAAAUAUUUCUCUUUCGUUGUUCUUUUGUUUUCCUUUGUUUUUUUGGCUGUUCUUUUUGGCUUUUUCUGUUGUUUUCUCUUUGUUGUUUCUUUCGUCUUUGCGUUUAUUUAAGUUGCAAAAGUUAAAAAUUCCAAAAAGAUUUUCUCGUUUUAAGUGUUGAAGUGAACGAAUUUCUGAUUGGCUCUUAUGUGCUUUAUUGUUGAACUAAUGAAAAGACCAAAAAUAUUUCCCUCGUCUUCUCUUUUGUACAAAUUGUCCAAUAGUAAAACCUGCAAAACCGGAGAACCAAAAGAAGUAGCUACUAGACACUGAAGUCGCGUAAUCUCGAGUGUAGUGAGGGGCUCAACUGAAGAGGUUGACAAAGAAGCACAAGGCUAUGAAUAAAAACUAAAAUAAGUAGGUGUCGAAGUUGUGUAAUAUCUGUUCCUCCUCGAUCCGGUUUGGCGUCCUUCCCCUGGUUGCAGGUUUUGUGCCACGGACUUGAUGUUGCAUCCCAUGUUCCCUUUGGUGGCCCUUGGCCCCGGUGGCAGGUAGCGUUGUGCACACGUACUGUGGGUUAGACUAAUGUUGAGGAAAUCGUUAACUGGUAACUUCUCGCUUAGCUUGGGAGUAGUGAUUAAUCAUUGAAUCGGUUUAUUAACUGGAUUAAUCGGUCAACCACUAAUUGGUGGAAUUUUCAACUCAAUAGAAGCAAAUUUUGCAUGGAGGGAAAAUCUACAUUGCAAAUAGGAGGCAAAUGGCACCAUUUUCUUUUCUCAAUAGAUCACAAACAUGUAUACAACAACAAUCAUCCAUGUGGGCAUCAAAAGUCAUCAACAAACAUGUAUACAACAACAAUCAUCCAUGUGGGCAUCAAAAGUCAUCAACAAACAUGUAUACAACAACAUUUUUUGCUAAUUUCUGCCUGUGUUGCAACUCUGAGAGAUGGUGGCCACACGAUGACGACAGACAGAGGGAAGGUGACGGCCUCCGCGCUGGGCAUCUGAACAGGCCGGUUGCCGGAGGUGGUAGGUCAUGAAGGAGGGGAAGUAGUGGCGCGUAGAGGGAGAAGAGGAAGCGGCGACACACAGGGGAGGAGGGGAAGUGGCAGCACGCCGGCGAGGACCUGGUUAGUCGCCAUCUAGGUCGGGAGGGGAUGAGAGGAGCAGGAGGGGUUCUAAACCCUAGCUAUUUAGGAGUGGGAGGGUUUAUGGGCCAAAUAAUUAGGCUUUGUUUGCCCACAAGUUAACAGGCCAGCAGCGAUUAAUCAGCUUGACAACAAAUUAGUUGGUCUAAUCGACCUAGCAAGUUAACUCGAUGAAUAUGUGUUAUUCGAGUCGGCCCCGAUGAGUAGCGAUGAACUGGCCAAUUACCUGAUUAAUCGGGUGAAUUCUUGAACAGUUGGUUAGACAUUGUGGUGCCGACUGCCCCUGCUCUUGCUUCGCCGAUAGGUGGUGCUUGAGCAUUCGGCUAUGGCGCGGGAACACGGGUUUGUGGGAUCGAUACAGCGACAGAGCAACUUGUAGCUAGACAAAGGAUGCUCAACCGGACUGACAGGGAGCGGAGCAUGCACGGGGGGUGUGGUGGAGGGGUGAAAAAGCCGUCGGGAGCGGACCGCCGCCGCCAUUUAGCUUUUGGACCUGGAGUUGAGCGGUGAGGGGAUGACGAUGGGGGGAGCGAGGAAGGCCGGAAGAGGGCACCGAGAGGAGAAAUGCAUCAUCCACCCUACGCUUGUGCAUUAGCCGCGACGGCGGGCGGUUGUGGGCAGAUCCGGGUUUUGCACGUGGAUCUACUACUCGGGAUGACAUGACAUGCUUCUUGAGUGAGGUGUCACAACUAUUGGGCCGUGUGGGUGGGUUUGGAGAGUCCGUGUUGUGCUCCGGUUAAGCCUUCAUGAAGAAACGAACCAAGUGUAAAUCAAAAGGCACAUAUUGAAGAGUAAAAAUAUGAUUUUGCACUCUGGAGUGCACGAAUGCACGAACGAGGCAUCAACAUUAAUAUGCUUGGUGAGCUCAUGCUUCAUAUGGUGAGGUGCAAUCCUGAUAGCACAUAUACUGUAUGGUGUGAUAAGAGAAGAGUAAUGUAGUGAUAGAAACACCAAAAUCCUCAAGGUCGUUAAUGAACGACACCGGGUUUGGAGAGAGAGGGAAGCCGUGAGCUAUGCUCUGUCUGAGUCUUUGUGAAGAAACGGACCAAGUGUAAAUCGAAAGGCACAUACUAAAGAGCAAUUAUCUGAUCUUGCACAUUGGAGCACACGAAGGACGCAUCAACACAAAUAUGCUUGGCGAGUUCAUGCUUCACAGGGUCAUGCGCAACACUGAUAGCAUUUGUACUGCCUGACAAGGAAGGCGUAGGUCUAGUGACAAAAACACCAAAAUCCUCAAGCAACCGUCGUAACCAAGUCACCUUGGUUGUCAGCAGAGUUAUAGCUUGCAACUCAACCUCUGCACUCAAAAGGGAAAAGUGUAGUCUGUUUCUUUGUGUUUCGGGGAAUGAGAAAACCAUCAAGAAAAACACAGUAAGUAGAAAGGGACGAGUGAACUUGAGCAUAGGAUUAAGAGAGACGGGGAGAGGUAGUUCCACAAAGAUAUCAUAGAACAGGGGGAGGUGACUCAAGUGGAUGAGAGUGGGAGGUGUCAACAGUGACCUUAUCACUAAGAGCAUCACAAGUAAGAAGAUACUGAAUGUACUUAUCUUUGGGAAAUAAAGAAGCCAUCAGAGGCAAAAGAAACCUGAAUUCCAAGGAAGUAGCAAAGAGGACCAAUAUCAAACAUAAAAACUAUUCACUAAGACGAGCCUUAAAAAAGGCAAAUGCACUUAGAGUUGUUGGCAGUGAUGGUCAUGUCAUCGACAUAUAGAAGCAAUGUUCGACCUUGAGCUGAAAGAUGGAUAUACAGUGUAGAUCAUGAGCAUUUGGCAAAAACUAGUCGCAGUCAUUGCUGAAACAGAAAACUCAAUUCGGACGAUACAGGCUAAAGGCAUAGAGAUAGCGACGAAGACGCCAGAUCGUGCCAUCAGGAAAAAGAUAUCUAGGUGGUGGCUACAUGUAGACCUUCUCAUGCAACUCACGAUUAAGAAAGACAUUCUUGACAUCAAGCUGAGAGACAGAUCAGUGGCGAGCAAAUAUCACAGCGAGAAGUGUGAGAAGAGUGGUCAUGUAGGCCAUAUGAGCAAAUGUUUCAUCUUAGUCAUAGCCAUGAUCCUGUUGAAAGCCAUGGGUCACAAGACGAGCUUUCUUACGCAAGAGAACCAUCAGAGUCUAAAUCUUGUAAACCCACCUACAAGAUACAAAAGUGAUGGGAUGAGCAUAGGGAGGAAGGGAAAUGAGAUCCCACGUGCCGGUGCAUUCAAGAGUAGCAAUCUCCUCUGCCAUCGCAUGUCGCCGUUCAGGAUGAGCAUGGCGUCACGGUAUGUCGUAUUGAGAAGAGCAGCGCUAGAAUACCCAUAGCGAUCAAUAUGCGGAAGCGGGCGAGCGCAGAAGCCAUAAGUAGGUUGAGCUAGAGGCGGUGCAUUGCCAACAGAAGGAGAUAUAAUAGUCGAGGGAGAUGGCUCAUCGAAAGAUGACACAUUAGAAGAAUCUGCAAGAUGCGGACCCUAGUGCAGUAAAGAAGAGGAUUGGGGGGAAUCAUCGGGGAAGUCUUAGGCAAUGAACAAGGUGGGGAAGCCGCAGGUGACGAUGACAUGGGGUCUACGGCAAUAGUACAAGAAGACACAUUGGAAUGGAAGAGGGCAAUACGUGAGUGAUAGGACACAUCAACACCAAUAUGGUCGGUGAGUUCAUGCUUUUCAGGGUCGUGCGCAAUAUUGAUAGCAUUUGUACUGUCUGACAAGGGAGGAGUAGGCCUAGUGACAAAAACAUCAAAAUCCUCAAGGAACCAUCGUAACCAAGUCACCUCUGUUGUCAAUAGAGGUAUAGCUUGCAACUCAGCCUUUGCACUCAAAUUGUAAAGCGUAGUCUGUUUCUUUGUCUUUCGGGCAAUGAGAAAACCAUCAAGAAAACACAGUAAGUACAAAGGGACGAGCGAACUUGUGCAUAGGAAUAAGAGAGAGACGGUGAGAGGUAGUUCUACAAAGAUAUUGUAGAACCGCAGGGGGGUGACUCAAAGUGGAUUAAAGUGGGAGUAGUGACAAACUGACUUAGAAUGAGAACGUGAUAUGUCUGGACGAGUGACAUCUAAAUACAAGACUCCCAACAAGAUGACGGUAGCGCGUCAGAUCAAACAAAGGCUCAUUGUCAGAAGCACAAAGGUGGACGUUGAGCUCCAUGGCAGCGUCAAUACUGACUAUCACUAAGAGCGGCACGAGCAAGAAGAUACUGAAUGAAUUCUCUUAGGAAAUUAAAAAGCCAUCAGAGGUAGAAUAAACCUCAAUUCCAAGGAAGUAACAAAGAGGACCAAUAUUAGACAUAAAAACUAUUCACUAAGACAAACCUUCAAAAAAGGCAAUGCACUCAGAGUUGUUGGCAGUGAUGAUCAUGUCAUCAACAUAUAGAAGCAAAGUUUGACCCUGAGCUGAAAGAUGCUAUAAAGUGCAAAUCAUAAGCAUUUGGCAAAAACUAGUUGCAGUCAUCGCUGAGACAAACACUCAAACCGGACACGAGAGGCUAAAGGCAUAGAGAGAGCGACAAAGACGACAGAUCGUGCCAUCAGGAAAAAAUAUCUAGGUGGUGGCUACAUGUAUACCUUCUCAUGCAACUCACCAUUAAGAAAGACAUUCUUGACAUCAAGCUGAGAGACAGACUAGUGGCGAACAAAUAUCACAGGAGAAGUGCACGAAGAGUGGUCAUGUGAGCCAUAUGAGCAAAUGUCUCAUCGUAGUCAUAGCCAUCUUCAUGUUGAAAGCCACAUGUCACAAGACGAGCUUUCUAACGCAAGAUAAUCAUUAGAGUCUAAAUCUUGUAGACCUACUUACAAUAUACAGGUGAUGGGAUGAGCAUGGGAGGAAGGAAAAUGAGAUCGCACGCGUCGGUGUGUUCAAUAGCAGCAAUCUCCUCUGCCAUCACAUGUCGAUGUUCGGGAUGAACAUGGCGUCACGUUAAGUCGUAUUGAGAAGAGCAACGCUAGAAUGCCCAUAGCAAUCAAUAAGUGGAAGCGGGCGAGCGUAGAAGCCAUAAGUAGGUUGAGCUGGAGGAGGUGCGUUGUCAACAGAAGGAGACAUAGUAGUCGAGGGAGAUAGCUCAUCGAAAGAUGACGCAUCAGAAGAAUUCACAAGAUGUGGACAACUAGUUUAGUAAAGAAGAGGAUGAGGAUGAAUCGCCUGGGAAGCCUUAGGGGACGAACGAGGUUGGGAAGCCCCAGGUGACGAUGACGUGGGGUCUACAAUAGUUGUACAGGAAGACACAUUGGAAUGGAUGGACAAGGGCAAUACAGUAUCGGCAAAAGCCAGGAAAGAAAUAUCCUCAAUGACAGAGGCUGAAGGACAGAAUUGACGUGGAUAGAAAGGACGAGGCUCAUCAAAAGUAAGGAAGACUCGAAAAGACACUCGAGAGGAAUAUCACCCUGCAAAGCAAGGAAGGAUGACUGUUGAUCAGGUAGGUGGAUGCAGAAACAACCUCCACCCAAAAAUAAGGUGGAAGAGAUGCGUUGAUCUUCAAUGCACAAGCUGCCUCAAGAAGGUGACGAUGCUUAGCAAACAAUUCUGAGCAUCAGGACCACGGCAAGAGAACUGAGAAAGUGCGCCCUGCUCAGCAAGGAAUCCGCGCAAUAAAUGAUUGAUAAACUCGCAAGCAAAAUUUGCAUGGAAGACAUAGAUAGGAGUGGAAAACCGGGUAUGAAGCAUGGCGGCAAACUUCUUACUGAUAGAUAAGACCUCAAUAGAAGAAAAGCAUAAAAUAUAUCCAUGUGUGUCGAGAGAAAUCAUCUAUAAAGAUAAUAUAGUAGCGAUGUCCUCCUUUUGAGGCAAAGGGACCUGGACCCCAAACAUCGAAGUGAACAAGAUCAGAAGGACGAUGAUACACAAUCUCGCUAUGAGGAUAAUGUAACUUAACCUGUUUGCUAAGCCGACAAACUGACAACCUAAAGACACACCGCCAGAGACAGAUCCAAGAAGACCAUGUCGAACUAAGGAUGAGAGACUAGAGCCACACAAGUGACCAAGAUGAUUCCAAAAGAGCCGGUAAACAAAGUAACCGAGGCAGAGAGACUGGCGGCGGUGGCAGCAAAGGGAAGGAUAAGCCAGAUAAGCACCAAGAGGACCUGGGAAUUACAACGUCGAGGGCCAACACCAAGUAGAGCAUCAGUGUGAGGAUUCUAAUCAGAACAUGAACAUGAGAAUCUGGAGGUCGAAUGGCUGACAAACUGGAAGAAUCGUAAGUUAUAUGAAAAUACAUCCAGUACCAAGGAUCCAUGGAGAUGUACCUGGUUGUGUAAAAGGUGGUCACUCGGUACAAGAAAAAUUAGUAGCAAAACCUGUUAAUGUUGAACCAAAAGAAGCCGCUAGUAGAUACUUACGUCGCCUAACCUUCGGUGUAGUCAGGGUCUCAACUGAAGAGGUUGACAAAGGAGUACUGGGCAAUGAAACUAGUAGUAGGAAGUAGGUGUUUUGUUAAAGAUCGAAAACCCAAAUGUAUUUCUGGUUCUUCUUGUUUGGCUUCAUUUGGUUUUUGAUCUCGUUCUUUUGUGUUCUUUAUGGUUCUUUUCCUUCUUAUUGUUUCUUUUGUUUAUUUGUUUGCUUUUACAAGAAACCACAAAACAUUUCUUUCUCCCUUUUUUCUUUUGAAGUUCUUUGAGAAAACAACAAAAACAUUUCUUCAUUCUUUCUGCUUUUUCUUUGGAAGUUUAUCCAAUUGCCUCUGUGUUAAAACUUUGGAAAUCUUGUAUCUUUGCUUGUCUCUUUGCGUUAUUGUUUGCCUUCUUUGAGAAAACCAAAAAUUCCAAAAAUACUUCAGUAGUGUUUCUCUAAGUUCUUUGCCUUUUAUAUUUCAAAAAAUCCAAAAAUAUUUCUCUUUCAUUUUUCUUUUGUUUUCCUUCGUUUGCUUUUGGUUGUUCUUAUUGGCUUUUCUUGCUGUUUCUUUUUGUUGUUUCUUUCGUCUUUGUGUUUAAGUUGCAAAACCCAAAAAUUCCAAAAAGAUUUCUUGUUUGCAUCUUAUUGAGUCUCGAAUGUUCAAAGUGUUCUUUUUGUUCUUUUUUCUUCCUAUUUUUUCUUUUGUAUGUUUCUUUCUUGUUUUCUAGAAACCCCAAAAGAUUUCAUUGUGCUUUUGUUCUUUUGAUGUUCUUUGAGAAAACAACAAAGAUAUUUCCUCGUUCGUUUUGCUUUUUCUUUGGAAGUGUAUUUUAUUGCCUCUUUGUUGAAACUUUAAAAAUGUUUUUUAUCUUUGCUUGUCUUUACAUUCUUGUUUGCCUUCUUCGAGAAAAACAAAAAUUCUAAAAAUAUUUUUGUUGCGUUUCUUUAAGUUCUUCUUUGCCUUUUAUCUUUACGAAAAUCCAAAAACAUUUCUCUUUCGUUGUUCGUUUGUUUUCCUUGUUUUCUUUUGGUUGUUCUUUUUGGCUUUUCUUUGCUGUUUUCUUUUCAUCAUUUCUUUUGUCUUUGUGUUUAAGUUGCAAAACCCAAAUAUUCCAAAAAGAUUUCUCUUUUGCUCUUAUUGAGUGUCAACUAUUUGAGGUGUUCUUUUGUUUUUUUCUUCCUAUUUUUCUUUUGGAUGUUUGUUGUUUGCUUUUAAUAGUAACCCCAAAAGAUUUAUUUGUCCUUUUGUUCUUUCGAAGUUCUUUGAGAACAAAAUGAAUAUUUUCUCGUUUGUUUUGCUUUUUCUUUGAAAGUUUAUUUGAUUGCCUAUUUGCUGAAACUUUGAAAAUAUUUUAUCUUUGUUUCUCUUUACGCUCUUGUUUGCCUUCUUUGAGAAAAAACAAAAGUUCCAAAAAUAUUUCUGUUGUGUUUCUUUAAGUUCUUUUUGGCCUUUUAUGUUUCCAAAAUUCCCAAAAAUAUUUCUCUUUUGAUGUUCUUUUGUUUUCUUUUGGUUGUUCUUUUUGGCAUUCUUUGCUGUUUUCUUUUUGUCGUUUAUUUCGUUUCUGUGUUUAAGCUGCAAAACCCAAAAACUCCAAAAGAUUUCUCGUUUGUGUCUUAUUGAGUGUCAAUUGUUUAAAGUGUUCUUUUUGAUUUAUUUUUCUUCCUAUUUUUUCUUUUAUUUGUUUGUUUUGUUGUUUUCUUUUAAAAUAAACCCUAAAAUAUUUCUUUGUCCUUUUGUUCUUUCGAAGUUCUUUGAGAAAACAACAAAAAUAUUUCCUCGUUCGUUUUGCUUUUUCUUUGGAAGUUUAUUUCAUUGCCUCUUUGUUGAAACUUUGAAAAUAUUUUAUCUUUGCUUCGCUUUACGUUCUUGUUUGCCUUUGAGAAAAAACCAAAAUUCCAAAAAAAAAUUCUAUUGUGUUUUUAAAGUUUUUUUCCUUCUAUGUUUUCGAAAAUCCAAAAAUAUUUCUCUUCCGUUGUUUUUUUGUUUUCUUUUGGUUGUUCCAUUUGGCUUUUCUUUGUUUUCUUUUUGUCGUGUUUUCGUCUUUGUGUUUAAGUUGCAAAACCCAUAAAUUCCAAAAAGAAUUCUUGUUUGCGUCUUAUUGAGCGUUAAGUGCUUGAAGUGUUCUUUUUGAUUUUUUUUCUUCCUAUUUUUCUUUUGUUUGUUGUUUGCUUUCUAAAAGAAACCCCAAAAGAUUUCUUUGUCCUUUUGUUCUUUUGAAGUUCUCUAAGAAAAGGAAAAAAUCUCGCUCUUUUUCUUUGAAAGUUUAAUUGAUUGACUCUUCAUUGAAACUUUGAAAAUCUUUUAUCUUUGCUUCUCUCUGUGUUCUUGUUUGCCUUCUUUGAGAAAAAAACAAAAAUUCCGAAAAUAUUUCUGUUGUGUUUCCUUGAGUUUGCCUUUUAUAUUUCUGAAAAUCAAAAAAUAUUCCUCUCUCGUUGUUCUUUUGUUUUCUUUGGGUUGUUCUUUUUGGCUGUUCUUUGUUGUUUCUUUUUAUUGUUUCUUUCACCUUUGUGUUUUAAGUUGCAAAACCCAAAAAUUGCAAAAAAGAUUUCUUGUUUGCGUCUUAUUUAGUUGAACUGUUGUUUGGAUCACUCUUCGAACCUCCUAACUGUUUGGAUGUUAAUCCCCUCUUGAUUACUUCUUUGUUUUUUUUUAUCAAAUUUUAGUCCUUGACGAUUCUCACUUGGAUUAUUUGAGGUUCUCUAGAAACUUGGAUUAUCACAUAUGUUUAAGCAUUAGCGACUUAUCUGCUAUUAAUCUUUGUUUGUAUGAUCUCUCCUAUUUAAUUUCUUCUUCGUCUACGUUUUCAACAAUUCUGGUUUGCAUUUGUGUCCUUUUGCCUAGAAACUUGGAUUAUACGUCUUAACGGGAGUGUCUUCAUGAUGAGUUAGGAUUAUAGUUAUCCUAUUUCUUUUCUUUUCUUCAGGGUUUAACUUUGUCAUGAAUUCUGAUUUUGAUUUGUUGGUGUUCUUUGAAAAUUGGAAUUAUAGGGUUGGUAGACUUCGAUGAUCUCGUUUUGGUAUAUAUGUAUGUAUGUUUUCUUUGGAUGCCAGAGAAACGGAGGGUAGUAGUCACGUAGAGAUGAAUCAAUGGUUAGAGAGGUUUUGUUUUUGUUAAUGGCUAAUUUGACUUCGAUGAUCUCAUUUUGGUAUGUAUGUAUGUCAUCUUUGGAUGCCACAGAAACGGACGGUAGUAGUUUCGUAGAGAUGAAUCAAUGGCUGGAGUGGUUUUGCUUUUGUUAAUGGCUAUUUUGAUUUAUUAUGGUUCAACGGUUCUUUUAUUUGGUCAGAUCUUCUUGGAUGAUGUUUUGGUGUUGAAUUGGAGUUUAAUUAUUUGGAUUAUAUAAUCCCUUUUGAUUACUUCUUGUUUGCAUAGUAUAAUUUAGUCCCUUAUGAUUCUUACUUGGAUUAUUGGUGGUUCUAAAUAUGGCUUGGCGGGAGCAACUUAUUUGUUAAUCUAUUUUGGAUGAACUAUCUUUAUUUAAUUUGUUCUCAGCUUUCACCUUGUAUGUAUCCCUUGCAUAUGUAGGGUUGGGUACUCUCAGAUAUGCAUAGAGAUAAGGUUCUUCAAGGGCAUCAUCAUAUUCUUCACCUUCUAAAGAUUCAUCUUCCUCCUCGUUGCCGCCAUCGUCAUUUUCCUCCUCUUCAGGCGGUGCGGCGGUCUUCCCCUUUGUAGGAGGAGCGCGGCUAGCCGCAGUCACCUUCACUGGCUCCAGCUCGAGCAGUGCUGCCAUCGCUGGGCUCAGAGCUUGCCCGAGCAGCAAAGGUACGGAUAGCAAGGCGGCGAAAGCCACGAACUACUACAAACAUCAACAAGUCAAGGCAGGACGAAGAAGAGAAAGAAAAGCCACUAUGAAUCUUAAGGCCACACGGCCCCGGGCUCCUUACCUCACUUGAGGGCUGGCAGCACUAAAAGGCUCCAUUAUGACAGUGAGCGGAAUUUUGUUUGGCCCUAGAUCUCUUAGGGUGUCGAUGCGGGCUCGCAGCUCGUCGUUGCUGAGCUCUCGUGUCGUUGCUUGAGUCGGAUCUUAAGGCCCCAUGUAAAGAUACAUGGGGUGAGCCCGAGUGGCUGGACUCGCCGCGCGAGUCCACGUCUUCAAGACUUGCUCCCCGGUCAGCCCGCGAUCGAUCAGCCCCCGGGCGUUGCUGGAUGUCUUCUUCAUCGGCUUCCAAGAUCUCUCAGACGCUUGGGUGGCUCAUUGAUGAAGGGUGGCAGAUCUCUUGCGAGCCCCGAAGCAUAGAACCAACCCUUAUGCCAGUUGCAGACUGACUUCGCCAAAGCAAUCUUGAAGUAGUCCGAUUCAAGCCGGAGCUGGAGGUUGGCGCCUUCAAGGUCGCGGAUAUCAUCGCCAUUCUUCUGGACCUUCACCAUGAAGUAGUAUCAAAACAACUCGAAGUUCGGGUUCGUCCCAAGGAAGCAUUCGCAAAGGGUGAUGAAGUUGGCGAUGUGGAGAAUGGCGUUGGGUGUCAAAUGAUGCAACUGACACGCGUAGGAGAACAAAAGCCCGCACACAAAGCUGUCCAACGGGAAAGCCAAACCUCGACAAAAGAACUGCUGGUGCAACACUCGCUUGUGCCGGCUGGUGCCAGGAUGGCCACGGCCCCGCCGUCCUCCAUUGAAGUACCUCCCAAGGCAGCAGAAAGUCGUCUUGAACCAACGCAGUGGAGAACCACUUGCCUGUGGUCUCGCCCGCGUCCUCGUUGGCGGAAGCGUUGUCCUUCCGCUCGUCAGCGGUGGUGGCCUUGGGAACGGUCCGGCCACGACCUCGACCGCGCUCUCCCUCGCCUCGCACCAUCAGCGGCUGGCUUGGGUGGAGAAGGAAAGAAAGGGAGGGCUCGAGGAGCAAGAGCUUGCGACAAUGGCGGUUCCGACAGGGGAGGGAGAAGUAGUAGCGGGAUCUGCGAGAGGAACAGAGGAAGUGGGGAAAUGUCUCUCUCCCCCCUCUUUAUAUCCCACCGGGAAAGCCAAGCAACGGCUUCGGUAGGUCGACAUGUGCCCCAUUUCCUUCGUGGUUUCCCACUACGCAGGAUGUGGGCGCGGAGAUCCAGCCAUUAUCAUCAUGAUGCAGCGGUCAAAGCGGAACCGACUGGCCAUCUCCCUAUCUUUUGACAGUGAUGACGGGAUGUGACAAAGCCAGUGGCAGCGACGCCUAGGUUCCUAUGGCUAGCAAUAAAUGAUUUGAAGAAGACUUGCCACCGGAGGCCGUGCAGCCAUGAAGCUGCGAAGACGCGACGCUGGAGGCCAUCCAGCCGUGAAGCCGCAUCAUUGCAAAGACGCGGGCUGCGAAGCCGUGAAGGUGAAAGAUGCAAAGCUGCUAGAUCGCGGCACCACAAAAUCAGGAGCUACGAAGCAACAGAGAUGCGUCGCUGGGGGCCGCGCGAUAGCCAAGUACAUAGAUUUUGAGGUCGGGCUACCGAGAGCUAGACUGUCUCCAUCACUGAAAAAGAGCCUGCCUAGAUUUCGUUCUCAAGGCAGCAAGGCUCCACAACUCCAGACAAGCUCGGCCGCUACUGACGGUACAAUAUACCGAGGGUGGCCCGUCCGCCGGGAAGCUCGAGACUUGGCUGGCUUCAGGGCCCAAGAGGCCUAGCGGCAUCCUUACCCAGCGAUUGGUCCAGGGGUCUAGGCUUGGAGAUAAAAUUUAUCCUUGGUGUGCAAGCCAAGAAGCUCUCACACUGAGGUCAGUUAGGACCCCUAUCAACCCUAGCUCUCUCCCCUUUAUAAGGCGAGGCUAGGGGUAGUUCGAGGCAUCUGUUCCAUUGCUCAGACCCUGAUAGCAUUCAUCAUCCUCCACUUGUAACCCCCUCGCACGAGUGCUCCCACAUCAACCCAAAACAAAGCAGGAGUAGGGUAUUACCUCGAUCAUGAGGCCCCGAACCUGGGUAAAACCCCCGUGCGAACUCCCUUUACUUCUGACUACGGUCUGCACCCUAACUGGGUCACUGACGGUUUUCUGCACCAUCACUGGUACUCUGGUAGUGAGUUGGAAUCUGUUUAAAUCGUAUGGUUUGCGAUAUAUCUCUCUAGGUUCGGUCCAUUAUAUGUACCCUUGAUCCAUGUGUUGGUCUUCUGUGCCUGUCGAUUGCACGAUAUAUUUAGGAGGUUUGGUCUCGUGGGCAAACCUUUGCUCUUUAACUGAGUCAGGUCAGUGCCUUUUCGGUGGUUUGUUCGAUUCAUUUGUGUUGGCCUCCAUGUGUUGGUUGCGCAGGACUGAAUCUGGUAUGUGGAGAUCAUGUCGAAGGGGGUUUGAGGAAGGUCUGAUUUGAGUUCAUGAGUUUCAUCAUUCAUCAUUUAAUAGGAGGUGGAUUCAGUGUCCUGAUUAAUUCUUAUUGUAGCAGUUGAUCUUGCUUUUGGUAUGUGUGUAUGUUCUCCUUUAGUUGCAGUAGAAGCAGGAGGGUAGUAGUUCUGCAGAGAUGAAUCAAGGCUGGAGAGGUUUGGUUUCUGUUCAUGGCUGAUUUGAUUCGUUAUGGUCAACUGUUAUUAUCAUCUGGUCAGAUCUUCUCGAAGUGGUGUUGAACUACUCAUCAACCUAGAACUUCGUGAUUGUUUGGAUGAUAUAAUCCCUUCUCGAUUCAGCUUCUUCAUUUGCACAGUACUCCCUCUGUAAACUAAUAUAAGAGCGUUUAGAAUACUAAAGUAGUGAUCUAAAUGCUCUUAUAUUGUUUACAGAGGGAGUACAAUUUAGUCCAUGAUUAUUCUUACUUGGAUUGUUGGUGGUUCUCCAGAAAUUGAGAUUAUAUUAUUUGCUGCAUGGCCAUCAUCUUUUUGGUUCGGUUUUGGUGUGGACCAGUUGGUUAUUGGGUGAACAAAUUUCACAGUACAAACUACUGAACGUACGCCAUCGCUGCCACGCCCGUGCCGCCCCGCCUCUUCCGACUCCGGUGGCAGGUCGGCGGCAACCGACGGAGGUCUGACCACGACAGUAACAACGAUGGAAACUGCACAAUCUCAGAAUAGAAGCUCAACAGCAAAUAUGGUCAAUGGGUAAUAAGCCUUGUUUUUUGCCUUGCUGUUGGCUGCAGCAGCACAUGCGAUGAGCUUAUUCAGCACGUGGACUUUGAAUCAAUAAGGCUGAUUGGAGUUGAAAUGAAUUUGAAUCAGGAAAAGGAUAUAGUGUAGGCUUAGCCUUGGACCAUAUAUGCACGCAGCUCAUGCAUUUCUACACGUAGUCCUAACUUUUAUUAACCUGUACAGUCCUAACUCCAAUAUAUACUUGGAUUCUGUAGAGCAACGGUAACUCGUCUGCCUACUAAUUCUGCUCCCGUAACAACGCUUUGCUGUAAUUAUGCAUAUCAAGUGCUCCACAUACAUAGUAUUCUGGAUGGUAGUAUAUUUCCUGGACCUUUUUCCCCAAUUUAUAAUGAUCUAAAAUGGUGUGCAUAUUAGGUUUUUAAAUGGACGAAAUGGAAUUCUUUUUGGAUGGAUAAGCAUGGCCUACCUGAGAAGGAAGUAUUCAUGUGCGACAGAAAAAUCUGCUUUGUUUGUGCCUUUUGGUUUUGUGGGCUCUUUUGCAGUUGCAGGGACAGAUGCACUAAGCAUCUUAGUCUAAAAAUUAUCUUGUUUGUGCAGUUGCAGGGUAACUAUCUGAACGCAGUGCAGAUUUUAGGUCAAAUAACACCCGUAUGAUAUAGAUAAUGGCUUCAUUGGAAAAACAUUGUAACCCUGUAUAUGAUCUAUUUUGUAUCCUGCAUGUUCUAAUAUUAACAGUUUUGAGUAGGUGCGUUCAUAAGACUCAGUAUGCAUUAGUGUUAUAUCUUGGAAGAAUGUGAAAUUGUUAUGCUUUGUACUGCAGGCCCUAGUUGCUGCUCCUUGGAAAAUAACCUUAAUGCUCAAUUGAAGUCCUUAAAGUUACUGGUUGCCAUCUGUAAUGUUAAAGAUACUCCCUCUGUCCCAAAAUAAGUGUCUCAACUUUGUACUAACUUUAGUACAAAGUUGUAUUAAGCUUGAGACACUUAUUUUGUGACGGAGGGAGUAAUAAAUAAAAGUUGGGCAUGCUAUUAGAGCUUCAUCCACUUGGAAAGACAUCUGAAACACAGAGUCUGUCAAAUAGUAUAGCACCUGUUUAAGGCUAGUUGUGCGCAAGGCAUUUUACUUUGGUGAGAUUACAUGGGUUAGAAUCUGGCACAUACAGUUUGCCCUUCUGUUCUUGCAUCAACUAGCAGCUCUUGCAACACCACACAUUUUGAUCACUGUUUCACGUCUACUUUUACUCCUUUUAGGUUUCGAAAAAAUCAUGGUUCAAUUAGUUUUAGGUCAGGAAUUAUGAAACACUUAGACAUUAAUUUAAAGGCUGAUUACGCAAGGCACUACUCUUUUAAAGACUGGGAGCCUUAUGCAUACUGGAGCACUGCUAACAUGUGUUUUGAUGAUGUUCAUCACUAAACAUUUGACUUUGCAGGCUUGUGGUCAGCUUGACUAGUUUCAAACAAUGGCGGAACGCUUGGCUUCGAUAUUUGGUACAGAGAAAGACAGUGUCAACUGUCCAUUUUUUACUUCAAGAUUGGAGCUUGUCAUCAUGGCGAUCGCCGCUCCUGCAUCCAUAACAGGCCAACCAUGAACAUGUAUCAGCGCUCUGAUAUGAUUACCCCUGGUCACAUGAUCCUUCGAAAUUAAGCAUCUCUUCGCCUUUAUAUACACUUGUUUACAUUAAUAUCUUUCCUCUGUACUUCACACACACACACACACACACAAACACACACACACACACACACACAUGUGACCUUGAAGGAAUAUUUGGAACGAAGUUUUCUAAGUUUUGUUGCACAGAGGAACAUAUGCCAUUUGUUUAGAAGUACAAGGAAGGAAUCAGGAGUAUGCUUGGAAGUGACCUCAAAGGAACGCUUUGAAAUGAAGUUUGCAAAGUUUGUUGCUCAGAGGAGAGGAGCACUGAUCUGCUAGGGUGCAACACAAUUCUUCUAAGGCAGGACCGAGGGAAGCACACUGUUAAUUCUAAAGAUGCUGAUGCUGAUGGAACUAUGGAAUGAUUGGGAGCUACAGCUACUGGUGCUCCUAGGCUUCACGCUACAGAUUUUCAUCUUCUUUUCUGGUGGCCUCCGGCGGUGCAGAACUAACUAAGGCUGAGGCUUCUGAUUUCGUUGGCUUACUUGCUAUCUGACAUGGUCGCAGUCUAUGCUCUUGGCCAGCUUUCACUGCUUAACAAUGAUGUGCCUGGAGCUGGAGAAAUGCACCGGCUCUCGUUUUUUUCGACGCCUUUCCUCAUUCAUCUUGGUGUGAUUCUACUUGUAUGAAAACAGGUCAAUUUCCUGAUCUAGAAGGCAAGCUGGAAUUGGACUAUCUGACACUUGUGAAGUGUGCUUUAUCUAGCGCAUCAGGUGUCAGAAAUCUAUUUGUUGGUUGCAAGCUUGCUAAAAUUGAAGGUAACAUACAGAGAACAUUUACUGGAGAGUGGCCAUAGAGUGGACGAGCUCGCUUGCUCCUGCUAGGUGGACCAAUGGAACAAUCAGGCGUUGGUAGGUGUAUUAAGUGCGGGGUAGGAAGCAGGGAAACAUACGCGGCGUCCAACAGUAGUAUACGGUGACGUGCGGAUAUGCAAAACGGCGGUCGGGCUCAGAUGAGCUCUCUAUCUAGGCUCCCAGUAUGCUUCUAGAUUCGUGCUCGUCAGUGUAUAUAUGAUGUGUAUUUUUGCUUUUCUAUUCCCUCUGUUCCUAAAUAUUUGUCUUUCUAGAAAUUUCAACAAAUAACUACAUACAAAGCAAAAU